UACGUAGGGGGCGAGCGUUGUCCGGAUUUAUUGGGCGUAAAGAGCACGCAGGCGGUCUGUUAAGUUUGGAGUGACAGUUGGUGGCUCAACCACCAAAGUGCUUUGAAAACUAGCAGACUUGAGGGCUUCAGAGGGACACGGAAUUCCGGGUGGAGUGGUGAAAUGCGUAGAGAUCCGGAGGAACACCGAAGACGAAGGCAGUGUCCUGGGGAGUACCUGACGCUCAGAAGCGAAAGCAUGGGGAGCGAACAGG
rnacentral:rRNA from 1 species